GAACUGCGAGAUCAUCAUUAAUCCAUUAUUCACCCUGUGAACUGUGCGCUGAAGGUGCUACGCUGUCGUGCAUCUUUCGCUGCAAAAACUACUUAAUUUAAACAAGCUGAAGCAAUUAUAUAAAAUAAAACAACUUUCAACAAUGGAUCUCUUGGCUCUCGCAUCGAUGAAGAACGCAGCGAAUUGCGAAAAGUAAUGUGAAUUGCAGAAUUCCGUGAAUCAUCGAAUCUUUGAACGCAUAUUGCACUCUCUGGCUCUCCAGAGAGUAUGCCUGUUUGAGUAUCAGUUUAAACUCUCAACCUCCUAUUGGGGGAUGAGGAAUUGAGCGGUCCGCUUGUAGUAGAUUGCUUGCAAUUUGUUACACUUUGGCGGUUGCUUGAAAUGGAUAGCUUAGCGGUAUUGACCACUGCUUAAGAUGACUAGGCGUAUUAGUUUCCCAAUUGGGAAUCCACUCGUGCGCCGGUGUAUUGGUCUCUAAAGCCUUUGUGUUGGUUGAUCGCCGAGCUCUUCCCCAAGUGUUCUUUUGGGCACUUACCGAGUAUGGCUUGCAGUUUGCAUGCUGAACUUGAUCUUGAUCUCAAAUCAGGCAAGACUACCCGCUGAAUUUAAGCAUAUCAAUAAGCGGAGGAA
rnacentral:rRNA from 1 species